AGGCCUUGAACUUCUCUUAACCAGUGAGUAGAGCUUCAAACAGAAUCUCUCACUGUAUUAUCUGAAUGCUUUGCAAUGUUUAGUGUGAUUAUGCUCCUGAGCUCUUGCUGUAAGACAGGGCUGUGUUCUCAACCCUCUUUAUAGAGGGYGAGGGCUGAGCAGUGGGAGGUUGCAUGACUCCAGCCCAGGGGCAGGAAAUCUGCGGCUGUUUCUUUUGUCCUCCAGUUCGCAUCAGUAUAUGUGAAGAUUGUGCUAAACUGGUCUGAAGAGCCUGCAAAAACCAAGCAGAUGGUUUGAUUUGCAGCAGGAAAGAAAAAAGUGGGGAAAAAGUAAGUGUUUGAAACCUAUUCCUACCCCUCACCCCCAGUAAAAC
rnacentral:lncRNA from 1 species